GAUGAACGCUAGCGGCAGGCCUAACACAUGCAAGUCGAGCGGUAGCACAAGGAGCUUGCUCCUGGGUGACGAGCGGCGGACGGGUGAGUAAUGUCUGGGAAACUGCCUGAUGGAGGGGGAUAACUACUGGAAACGGUAGCUAAUACCGCAUAAUGUCGCAAGACCAAAGAGGGGGACCUUCGGGCCUCUUGCCAUCAGAUGUGCCCAGAUGGGAUUAGCUAGUAGGUGGGGUAACGGCUCACCUAGGCGACGAUCCCUAGCUGGUCUGAGAGGAGGACCAGCCAAACGGGAACUGAGACACGGUCCAGACUCCUACGGGAGGCAGCAGUGGGGAAUAUUGCACAAUGGGCGCAAGCCUGAUGCAGCCAUGCCGCGUGUAUGAAGAAGGCCUUCGGGUUGUAAAGUACUUUCAGCGGGGAGGAAGGGUAUAGGCUUAAUACGUUUAUACAUUGACGUUACCCGCAGAAGAAGCACCGGCUAACUCCGUGCCAGCCGCCGCUGUAACAC
rnacentral:rRNA from 1 species